UACAGAGGGUGCAAGCGUUAAUCGGAUUUACUGGGCGUAAAGCGUGCGUAGGAGGUCGCGUAAGUCGGUUGUGAAAUCCCUGGGCUCAACCUGGGAAUUGCUUCCGAUACUGCGGGACUAGAGUUCGGUAGAGGGUGGCGGAACUCCCGGUGUAGCGGUGAAAUGCGUAGAUAUCGGGAAGAACAUCGAUGGCGAAGGCAACCACCUGGGCCUGAACUGACUCUGAGGCACGAAAGCGUGGGGAGCAAACAGG
rnacentral:rRNA from 1 species